GACGUAGGGCGCAAGCGUUGUCCGGAUUUAUUGGGCGUAAAGAGCUCGUAGGCGGUGUGUCGCGUCGGUCGUGAAAACUUUCAGCUUAACUGGGAGCUUGCGGUCGAUACGGGCAUCACUGGAGUUCGGCAGGGGAGACUGGAAUUCCUGGUGUAGCGGUGAAAUGCGCAGAUAUCAGGAGGAACACCGGUGGCGAAGGCGGGUCUCUGGGACGUUACUGACGCUGAGACGCGAAAGCGUGGGGAGCAAACAGG
rnacentral:rRNA from 1 species